UACGUAGGUGACCAGCGUUGUUCGGAUUUACUGGGCGUAAAGGGCGCGUAGGCGGCGUGGCAAGUCACUUGUGAAAUCUCCGGGCUUAACUCGGAACGGUCAAGUGAUACUGCUGUGCUAGAGUGCGGAAGGGGCAACUGGAAUUCUUGGUGUAGCGGUGAAAUGCGUAGAUAUCAAGAGGAACACCUGCGGCGAAGGCGGGUUGCUGGGCCGACACUGACGCUGAGGCGCGAAAGCUAGGGGAGCGAACGGG
rnacentral:rRNA from 1 species